GACGAACGCUGGCGGCGUGCCUAAUACAUGCAAGUCGAACGAAGCUGUUUUAACUGGUGCUUGCACCGACUUGAACAACUGAGUGGCGAACGGGUGAGUAACACGUGGGUAACCUGCCCCAAAGCGGGGGAUAACAUUUGGAAACAGAUGCUAAUACCGCAUAACCACAGAAACAACAUUGUUUCUGGUUUAAAGAUGGUUUCGGCUAUCACUUUGGGAUGGACCCGCGGCGUAUUAGCUAGUUGGUAAGGUAAUGGCUUACCAAGGCAAUGAUACGUAGCCGAACUGAGAGGUUGGUCGGCAACAUUGGGAGUGAGACACGGCCCAAACUCCUACGGGAGGCAGCAGUAGGGAAUCUUCCACAGUGGACGAAAGUCUGAUGGAGCAACGCCGCGUGAGUGAAGAAGGUUUUCGGAUCGUAAAACUCUGUUGUCAGAGAAGAACGUGUGCGAGAGUAACUGCUCGUGCAGUGACGGUAUCUGGCCAGAAAGCCACGGCUAACUACGUGCCAGCCGCCGCAGUAA
rnacentral:rRNA from 1 species